UCCUGUUAUUAAUACUCUUAUCCUGCAUAGAUGGAGAAAUGGCAAAUCUGUAUCUAAAAAAGGGGAUUCUGUUGUUUUUACUUGUGCUGCUUCUGUUCUCGAUUUCAUACUUAUGCAGUCAUUACAGUGUGUCCAGUGCAGAUCAAAUAAAAGAAGCAAAACUUCAAAGGUAACUUAACAUCUGCAGAGAGUGUGGUAUGUUUUUGUUGUUUUCACUAAAAAUAUGGUAACAUUCGUUUUCUGAUUUCAUGUGCUUCAUCACUUUAAUCAUUAUACAAUUUAUCACUUUAUUAAAUACUUGCUGCUGAUGCCAUUGUGCAUU